AUCGGUAGUUUUGACUAUGUCAUUUUUUUCAUAAUGUACUCUACGUAGAGUUGGCAGGUUUUUGACUCGAAUUGUUGUUUGCUAUGUUUUUUCUUGAGCGUCAUCCCUUGAGUGUAAACACAAAAGAAUGAUAAUGUAAUCUUAAUUCCAGUCUUCAGAUAAAGCGUGAGAUUGUGCCAAUCAAUAUGAAAGUUGGGAUUCUUUUUGUCGCAUUUGCAAUUGUCCUGCUCUGUCCAAGUACUCAGGGCUUUGAAUGUAAGGUUUGUGGAGACGAGUCAAACUUGUACCAAUGUCGACCAAAUGACGACGGAACCUUCAAGAAUUGUUCGGAAGGUUUCCAAUCGUGCUACAAAUCCGUGAUUGAGUCAGAUGAUAAGAUGUUGGUAUUCAGAGGUUGCUCACCAUUACCGGGAAGUGGCAAUGGGUGUCUCCACCUCCAAACGGGCGAAAAUCUGACAACGUGAUUCUCCACCGAUAAGCUGAAACCUCUAUCCCUUUAUACCGCUAGCAAUCUACAAGUCAUUGUUUGAACUUACAACAUUCAGCUUGGUUAGGAUCACUUUCAAAUGCAAUAAUACCGCCGACUCAUCGGUGGAGAAUCAUGUUGACAUUCGCAGACUCACUUCCUACACCUUGUGCCUGUGCGCCACUGAGAGUUGCAAUGCCGCCCCAGGUUGGCACGAAACCUUUCCCCUAACACCUAUCGGAACUUCACUCCUGCUUACGUGGGUCGUGUUUCUUUCUUUGUGAAAUCUGUCUAAAACAUUGGAAAUUGCAUGACAUCGGCAAAAGAUAUGAAAAUAUAUCUAAAAACACAUGGCAUCUUCA